GGCGGCGCUGGCGCUGGCCUGGGCGUACCCGUUUAUGAAGCGGGUGACCAACCUGCCGCAGUUCGUGCUGGGCGCCGCGU
rnacentral:tRNA from 1 species